GGACCCGUAGCUCAGCGGAAUCAAGAGCGCGACCCUGCGGAGGUCGAGGACGCACGUUCGAAUCGUGCCGGGUUCACCA
rnacentral:tRNA from 1 species